rnacentral:lncRNA from 1 species
UUUUCUCUAAUUAUGCCUCAAGGAUUAACAGAACUAACCAACAAUAAAUUCCUUGGUUUAUAUACUAAUAUGAUUGCACUUUCAUUCUUAUAAACAAACAUAUGUUGUCAUACGAUGCACAUGUGGUUACAAAACUCCAAAUUCAUAUCAAAUGAGGAUUUGUCUAUCAGGAAAUAUAUUAAACAAAUGCUAUACUGGCACACGAUAUAUUGUGUUUUUUAGGUCUUGUGUGAUCAUUUUGUCUUUUCGCCCUCCUUAUGUUUAAACCGUGGCUCCGUCGUUGUACUGAUGUACUAUUUUGUAAGGUUUUUACGAAUAAUUAAUAGAAUAGAUGAAUACAUUGUCCAGGUGAACAAGUAAGAAGCACCAGUUCAUUCAGUAGAGAAGCGUUGGAUUACAUGGCCUCGUCAUGCGGUUCUUGCUCCCAUCCUCAUGAAGCCUCUUAGCUUCCGGCUUCUUUGACAGAGAACAAAUAAUUCAAUUAGCCUUCGUCGAUCAUCGGUACUAGCUAGAAGAAAGCAAUAGGUCGUAGGAUGUUGUGUUCUUCUCGUGCUAAGAAAAUACUGAAUUCGGUGAGAUGGAGCCGUUCGGUCGACGCCUUGUCAUUUUAGUGUGUACUACUUCCCGGUACCUCACAAUCCUACACACACAUACAUACACCCUUUAUUUUUUUUGGCGUAAGUAGAAAGCAUUUGCAGUGAGAUUAGUGACGGAACCAUUGAGAAACAUUUGGCUAGCCUCUGAGUAUACAUAUAGUCCGCGGUGUUUUGAUUGAGUGAAGGUAAGGAGGGGUGUUCUAUCGUCCUUAAAGUUCGUGAAGCUAAGGAGGGGUGGCAUGUGGCACCAUGUCCUUGCUUGCUUGGUCGCUAUAAAUCAACCAUGUGGCUCUGGGAAAUCGUUUAUUCUGAGCAACCGUCGAGCACGUUUGAAAGCUCGUCUUCCUUGAGGCACCUACCUUUCGUGUAAGGCCAUGGAUUUGCUCUUGCUCUAAAUGGCUAUGGUUUCUCAUAAUUAACCAACUUUUUUGACCACUUAAGACAAGCAUAUAGUAGGAUCUCGUUCUGGAUGAUGCACCUGGUAUAAUGCAUUGCCACUAAUUAGGACACGCGAAAAAAUAAUAGAUGGGAAUGAUUUGUGAAGCACUUUUUUACGAGUUGAAGUCCAUCUACCAUAUUUUCUUCCUUAACAAUAGGCAAAUGUGUGAUUGCUCCCUGGAGUCCCAACACCCCCUUAUCAAGCCGUUCAUUCCCACUAAGAUGGGUGCUGCAAUCUAUUAAGCACCAGACGAUUUGCAGUAUAAAUGAGACGUGACAGCCUAUUUCACUCCUUUAGUACUCAGGUUUGAACAAGGGAAUAGCUCUAAGCUGUAGGUGCCUACUUUUUAGUUUUGACUAGACUAGACUGCUUAUUUGUUGAGAAAGUGCCUACUAUUGAGUUUUGAC